CCCCCGAGAAGUAUGGGCUUGUUGCUUUGCAGUGCUGGUGACCUAUUCCCUUUGACGAUCCCUAGGUGGAGAUGGGGCAUGAGGAUCCUCCAGGGGAAUGGCUCACCACCACUAGGCAACAGGCCUA
rnacentral:lncRNA from 1 species